CAGAGACUCAACCCUCUUCAACAUGAACAAAGCUCUGGUCUGUGCUGUCUUCAUCUUGCUGGUGCUUUCUGUGUUCACAGAGGCCAUGGAGGGGAAUCCUAUAAACACAAAUGGCAAUGUGAAUGCAACCAGCGCCACAGGCAAGCAGGACUAGUUACACCAGUGACGGUAACUCCAAUGGCAACAUUUUGGUAAUUGAGGAUUUUUGAAAAUGGAGGGCACAGAUGCUCGAAUCUAAGGUCCUUAAACCUUUAAAAAUAAUGUGCCAAAGUGUUUUUGAUUCAUAAUUUUGCUCACAGUGUAAUUUCCCUUCAUUUAACAUUUGUAACACCAAUUACCCUAUUUAGACACAAAAUGAUCAAUGGAAUCCUCAAAUGUAUGAGACACUAAAAGGGCGUGAUUAGCUAAUAAUUGUAUUUAAUAUAGACCCUUCCAGUGCAACACUUUUCCACUAGAGGUCAAUGCAAGGUCCUUGUAAAUCUUUGUAAUGAGUGAUUUUCAAGGGGGUUACACCGAUGGGGAUAAAACUUAGGGACACAUAUUAUAUUUGUAAAAAUAAGAGUAAUUGUAAUAGCCUGUUUUGUUUUUAUUGAUAAGUACAAUAUACAGUUGAUGUCAGAAGUUCAGCCAAAUACAUUUAAAAUCCGUUUUUCACAAUUCCUGACAUUUAAUCCAAGUAACAAUUCCCCCUGUCUUAGGCCAGUUAGGAUCACCACUUUAUUUUAAGAAUGUGAAAUGUCAGGAUAAUAGUAGAGAGAAUGAUUUAUUUCAGCUUUUAUUUCUUUCAUCACAUUCCCAUGGUUCAGAAGUUUACAUACACUCAAUUAGUGUUUGGUAGCAAUUGCCUUUAAAUUGUUUAACUUUGGUCAAACAUUUCAGGUAGCCUUCCACAAGCUUCCCACAAUAAGUUGGGUAAAUUCUGGCCCAUUCCUCCUGACAGAGCUGGUGUAAUUGAGUCAGGUUUGUAGGCCUCCUUGCUCGCACAUGCUUUUUCAGUUCUGCUCAUAAAUCUUCUAUGGGAUUGAGGUCAGGGCUUUGUGAUUGCCACUCCAAUACCUUGACUUUGUUGUCUUUAAGCCAUUUUGCCACAACUUUGGAAGUAUGAUUGGGAUCAUUGUUCAUUUGGAAGAACUAUUUGCGACCAAGCUUUAACUUCCUGACUGAUGUCUUGAGCUUCAAUAUAUCCACAUAAUUUCCAUCCUCAUGAUGCCAUCUACUUUGUGAAGUGCACCAGUCCCUCCUGCAGCAAAGCACCCCAACAACAUGAUGCUGCCACCCCCGUGCUUCACGGUUGGGAUGGUGUUCUUCGGCUUGCAAGUCUCCACCUCUGAACAUAACAAUGGUCAUUAUGGCCAAAGAGUUGGAGCAGUGACUUCUUCCUUGCUGAGCGGCCUUUCAGGUUGUUUUACUGUGGAGAAAGAUACUUUUGUACCUGUUUCCUCCAGCACGUUUGCUGUUGUUCUGGGAUUGAUUUGCACUUUUCGCACCAAAGUACGUUAAUUUCGAGGAGACAGAACGCGUCUCCUUCCUGAGCGGUAUGACGGCAGCGUGGUCCCAUAGUGUUUAUACUUGCGUACUAUUGUUUGUAGAGAUUAACGUGGUACCUUCAGGCGUUUGGAAAUUGCUCCCAAGGAUGAACCAGACUUGUGGUCUACAAUUUUGUUCUGAGGUCUUGGCUGAUUUCUUUUGAUUUUCCCAUGAUGUCAAGCAAAGAGGCACUGAGUUUGAAGGUAGGCCUUGAAAUACAUCCACAGGUACACCUCCAAUUGACUCAAAUGAUGCCAAAUAGUCUAUCAGAAGCUUCUAAGGCCAUGAUAUCAUUUUCUGGAAUUUUCCAAGCUGUUUAACUUAGUGUAUGUAAACUUCUGACCCAUUGGAAUUGUGAUACAGUGAAUUAUAAGUGAAAUAAUAUGUCUGUAAACAAUUGUUGGAAAAAUGACUUGUGUCAUGCACAAAGUAGAUGUCCUAACCGACUUGCGAAAACUAUAGUUUGUUAACAAGAAAUGUGUGGUGUGGUUGAAAAACGAGUUAAUGACUUCAACCUAAGUGUAUGUAAACUUCCGACUUCAACUGUAUGUAAUGCUUUUGUUAACUUUAUAGAAUUCAAAAAAUUAGACAUAGAUUAAUAACUUUAAAUCCCCCAAAAUAUGUCACUAUAACUGUACUUUAAACAAUGCAUAAACAUAAUGUUUUGCAUUAUAAAGCACCUGCAGUAUGUUUUAUGACUGAUAAACAGUCCAAUUUAAACAGAUAACAUGUAUAAUGUGUAACUAUUUGUCAUUUUGAAGUGUUUUUUGUGUGGAUGUGAAUGCCACCGCAAUUCAAGAACGACCCAUAAAGGGUUAUUCGGCUGUCUCUCUCUCUCUCUCUCUCUCUCUCUCUCUCUCUCUCUCUCUCUCUCUCUCUC
ensembl:lncRNA